AGCUUAUCUGCCACCAGUGCGCUGACCUACAGGGCCGACGCGUUGGGAGAUGGCCAAAACUUUGUAAAGCAUGGGAGGGAACGCAGCGUCUGAGGCGAUGACCCAAAAGGGCCUUCGCGUCGAGUGUGUCCAAGCUUUGUAAAGUUGAGUGAGGAACUCGAUCUGAGGCGAUUCAAACAUCAAAUGAUUUGACAACUGUUGCGUGUUUUCAAGGUGACAGUUGGGUGCCAUGCCCAUUCUCCUAAAAGGCUGCUACAGUUACUAAUUAUUAUAGACGGCUGGUUGUAACCGAGAUGACGCAUUUUAAGCAAGCAUGAAAGUCACAGCGACAUCCUGGGCGUAGAUCAAAUCUGGCGUUUCAUUUCAACGGCCUAGAUUGAAGAUGCGAUGAAUGGCCUAGAUUGAUCGCAUUUGAAUUCGACGGUGGAGAUCAGAUUUGUCUUUCUAUAAAAGGAGGACUCUGAGGUUUUCUCAAGCUUUCUACCUUUGCGAAACAAACAAUUCACUUUGCUCUCACGUAAUUGGCGAUUUCCGGCAUUUUCUAAGCAACUCCGAUGAGAAAACUGAACUUUCGACGACCCUACACCAUUUUCGGCUAGGAAAACCUCCAAACUCGUAAGUUUUAGUACCUAUUUGGGCUUUUAAAUUCUGGAAGGAUGGCCUCAGAGGGAAGUUCUAGUUCGGGGAGGGGUUUAGAACUAGUGAGGAUGGACGAGCCCCUUGUGGCGAUCUCCUCAAAAAUAACCGAGGCAAUAAUAGGGGGAAAAUAUAUGGAAGCGACCGGAUAGCCCAGCAGAUACUUCUGUGCAUUGGGGGCAUUGGAUUACCCAUCCAAAUUAAGAGAGACCGACCUGGGGAGACUUAAGACAGAGUAUAGGAUCCUUGAUAGCAUAGAUUUGAUUCUCCCUGGGCCGGAAGAGAGAGCUUGCUACCCUAGGCCGGGCUGUGUGGCCAUCAGUGAGGCGAUACUUAAGGCCGGACUUAGGCUGCCCGUUCACCCAUUCUUUAGGAUGGUGCUUAGGUCCUAUGGGCUAGCCUCGAUGCAACUCAAUCCGAACUCCUGGAGCCAAAUGGUGGGCCCUGGAUGUUGUGGAAAGAGGCAUCAUUAGGGGUGGAGAUGUCUCUCUCCGUUUUUCAGACCCUAUAUAUACCUAAGGUUACUGCUCGGGGGGAGAUAAGACCCGGGGAUGGUAUUACCUUACUUCAUGGGGUUCCCACACUCCAUUCGUGGUCGAUCUGCCGAGCUCCAUCAAAGAAUGGAAGAGCUCGUGGUGUUGGACCGCAGGGC
rnacentral:lncRNA from 1 species